AUAGAAGCUCAAUUGUGUGACAAAUCAAAUGGAAGCAGAGAUGGUGACCAGUCUUCCUUGCAAAAUGCCCUAGAUUAGAACUGCAUUAGUGACACUAUCGGAGUUAUUUGUGUCGACUCAGAAGGGCACAUGGCAUUUGGGGCUUCAAGUGGCGGUAUUGUCCUGAAGGUAUUCAAACAUCCACGCGUUUGGUUUCUAUAAAUUUAUGAAUGAAACAGGCAUUACAUGCUUAGCUUUCAGUAUGGAUGGAUCUCUGUUGGUGUCUAGAUCAGAGGAUGGAACGAUUCGAGUCUGGGAUACUAAAAACCACAUCACUCGCAUCUUUAGGCAUGGAAAAGAACAACUCAAUAUAUGCAUGGGAUGGUCUU